rnacentral:lncRNA from 1 species
UUUACCAGAAUCAGAUUUUUUUUUAAAUGAGCCAUUCUGCCAUAGGCCCAAGGAAGGGGAAUACUCAUUGUUUCUGUUUAAUCUCAUUUUUUAUCUUAACUACUUAUGGGAACAAGUCUUUAAAAAAAAGAAAACUCACUCUGUCAUUUUGUGACUAUGUACAUGCAGAGCUUCACUAAAGAUGGGAAGAUGCUCAUUAUCCAUCGUUCAUCUCUGACCAAGCCUCCAGAAACCAUCAAUUUAGGUAAUUGGAAACUACUGAAAUUUUAAGAAUAAAUUUUAGGACAAGGGUCUAAAAGGGUGGUUUCUAAUGAGUUAAAGUACAAUGAAUGGAAAUAAAACUAGCCA